rnacentral:lncRNA from 10 species
CUGGAAGUGGGCGCUGAAAGGACGAAUUUGCUUCAAGGAGAUCUCAUCCCGAGAGGAGAACAUCGUGCAUCUAAGUCUGCAGCCGGAUGAGACUCUGGUUCUCCACCACUGUAUUCCUGGUGCCUAGAACCACCUUGAAGUUAGUAGGUGCUCGGUAAAUAUGCAUGAAUGAAUCUAGCAGGACAAUAGGGCCCAAAGGACAUCAGGAGUGAACCUCCCUUGUGGAACAGUCAUUACAGGGAGGAUGUGUUCCUAAGACUCACUGAAAGCAAGAACUGGCCUUAACCACAGCAGGAAGAAACCUGUUCUUGGAAGAUUGGUGGCAAGUCUCUUGAGAGAGUAGGAUGUAAGAUACAGAAAAAAGCUGCUAAAGAUACAAAGAAGUGAAAGAAUGUACUCAUUGGAAAUACAAAUAGGAUAUUACACUCAAAUUUUGAUUCUCUCUAGGUCUUGACUCACCAAGUGACCCACAUAGGUCACGUAUGAGGAGAUCAAGGCCCCUUGGGCAGCCAUGGAACACUGAGGUGGUUACAAACUAAGGUGGUGGAGUCAAGAUGACCACUUUGGGCAGAAAAGAAUUCCACUUCUAUUUGAUAGAGCUAUGCUCAAGUGACUUGCUUGAUAAAGCUAUGCUCAAGAUGACUUGCCUUGGAAUCUUAGCUCUGACAUUUUAUGACCUUGGACAAUCACUCCAAGCUCUUUAACACUUAAUUUCUUCAUUUGUAAAACUGGAAUAAUAAUGGUAACUACUGGAAAAGAGUUGUUACAAUGAUUCCAUUAAAUACUAGGGACAAGUAUUUAGUCUACGGCCUGACACGCUUUGAGGGCUCAAUGAUUGCCAUCUUCCUUUACUGCGCUCUUAGGAAUCCAGAGGCAAAUCUAAGUAUGUCAUCAGCAAGGACCAGAAGGGAAGAAUUCUUCCAAGAUAUACAAAGAAAUCCCUUUCACACGCCAAGAGUCUGUCGAUGGAGGAAGAAAACUUCGGCUAGUUCACCUUUUCCUUUUAUGGAUGAAGAAAUGGAAGUUCAGAAAAGGGAAGUGAAUUGGUUAAGGAGACAUCUGGAAGGUCUCCUGACCCUGUCCUAACUUGUUGCUACAACACAUUUCAUUUUGUCAUUUUGAUUUUUUUUCAAAUUUGAGUCUUCUUAUGAAUAUCUUUUUUUUUUAAGACAGGGUCUUGCUAUGUUGCCCAGGCUGGCCUCAAACUCCAGGCCCAAGGGAUCCUCCCACCUCAGCCUCCUGAGUAGCUGGGACUACAGGUGUAAGCCACCCCUCCAAGUUCUAUGAGUAUCUUAUUACUGCAAACACUACAAAAAUAAUACCGUGAUACAUACUUUCUUGCUUUUUAGUUAAAGCCAUGCUAUCCCCUUUGCUCUUGCAGGUGCCAGGAGUAAGCAGACAGUCCUAGGAAUAUUGUAGGUGGAUCUGGGUUCCCCAGGGUGGUAGCAGUUCUCAUCUGUUCUCUGGAGGAUAAACUUCUGCCAUCUCCUCCCCUGUCAUGGCCUGAGCAGUGCCCUGCUGCUAAGGUGCCUUCAGCUGCUAGGGCUCCCCAGGGAUUGGCCCAGAGCACCUCUGAGGAGCAUAAUGUUUGGAACCAUCUUAGCCAGUUGUGUUGACAUAGACAAAUUAACUUGUCCUAUGUGUAUAUCAUAAGGUAAAGACAAUGUGAUGACAUAUACAUAUGUACUGUUAGUGAUUUGCUUCUUUUCCUGUUCUUACUCUCCAACAACAAGGUAAAUAUCUGGGGCCAGAGAGAAUGACUCAGCCAUCUCUGAACUGACUUUGACUUUGCAGCCUGGUUUAAUGGAAGCAGAAAGUCUUUGGAAACAGACUUGGCCUCAAACCUCAGCUAUGCCACCUACUAGUUGUGUGGCUUUGGGUAAGUUAUUUGAGUUCAGUUUCCUCAUCCAUAAAUGACUAUUGUGAGGAUUAAAUAAGACGGUGCAUGAAACUGCUGGCAACUGUUAAAGCCUCUCCAUAAAUGUUAGUUCUCUUUCCUUUGUAAUACGUAGAUCAGGGUUUCUCAACAUUUAUCACUACUCCUGAGAAAGAGGCUUUGUAGACAUUUUAGAGAUUUCCCCCAUACAAAUUUAAUAGCAGAGAUAAACUGUAUAUCUGCUCAUGUGCUAUAUGCAUAUCUGUCUUUUAUACACACAAAUAUAUAUUUGUUUGCCCUUGAUGACCAAUUU